rnacentral:rRNA from 1 species
GCUAUGUUGGCCGGGCGACGGUUGUCCCGGUUUAAGCGUGUAGGUGUGUGUUCCAGGUAAAUCCGGUUCACUUUAACACUGAGGCGUGAUGACGAGGCACUACGGUGCUGAAGUAACAAAUGCCCUGCUUCCAGGAAAAGCCUCUAAGCAUCAGGUAACAUCAAAUCGUACCCCAAACCGACACAGGUGGUCAGGUAGAGAAUACCAAGGCGCUUGAGAGAACUCGGGUGAAGGAACUAGGCAAAAUGGUGCCGUAACUUCGGGAGAAGGCACGCUGACACGUAGGUGAAGUGAUUUACUCACGGAGCUGAAGUCAGUCGAAGAUACCAGCUGGCUGCAACUGUUUAUUAAAAACACAGCACUGUGCAAACACGAAAGUGGACGUAUACGGUGUGACGCCUGCCCGGUGCCGGAAGGUUAAUUGAUGGGGUCAGCGCAAGCGAAGCUCCUGAUCGAAGCCCCGGUAAACGGCGGCCGUAACUAUAACGGUCCUAAGGUAGCGAAAUUCCUUGUCGGGUAAGUUCCGACCUGCACGAAUGGCGUAAUGAUGGCCAGGCUGUCUCCACCCGAGACUCAGUGAAAUUGAACUCGCUGUGAAGAUGCAGUGUACCCGCGGCAAGACGGAAAGACCCCGUGAACCUUUACUAUAGCUUGACACUGAACAUUGAGCCUUGAUGUGUAGGAUAGGUGGGAGGCUUUGAAGUGUGGACGCCAGUCUGCAUGGAGCCGACCUUGAAAUACCACCCUUUAAUGUUUGAUGUUCUAACGUGGACCCGUUACCCGGGUUGCGGACAGUGUCUGGUGGGUAGUUUGACUGGGGCGGUCUCCUCCUAAAGAGUAACGGAGGAGCACGAAGGUUGGCUAAUCCUGGUCGGACAUCAGGAGGUUAGUGCAAUGGCAUAAGCCAGCUUGACUGCGAGCGUGACGGCGCGAGCAGGUGCGAAAGCAGGUCAUAGUGAUCCGGUGGUUCUGAAUGGAAGGGCCAUCGCUCAACGGAUAAAAGGUACUCCGGGGAUAACAGGCUGAUACCGCCCAAGAGUUCAUAUCGACGGCGGUGUUUGGCACCUCGAUGUCGGCUCAUCACAUCCUGGGGCUGAAGCAGGUCCCAAGGGUAUGGCUGUUCGCCAUUUAAAGUGGUACGCGAGCUGGGUUUAGAACGUCGUGAGACAGUUCGGUCCCUAUCUGCCGUGGGCGCUGGAGAACUGAGGGGGGCUGCUCCUAGUACGAGAGGACCGGAGUGGACGCAUCACUGGUGUUCGGGUUGUCAUGCCAAUGGCACUGCCCGGUAGCUAAAUGCGGAAGAGAUAAGUGCUGAAAGCAUCUAAGCACGAAACUUGCCCCGAGAUGAGUUCUCCCUGAGACUUAGAGUCUCCUGAAGGAACGUUGAAGACGACGACGUUGAUAGGCCGGGUGUGUAAGCGCAGCGAUGCGUUGAGCUAACCGGUACUAAUGAACCGUGAGGCUUAACCUU